rnacentral:tRNA from 1 species
GGUCGCGUAGCUCAAUGGUAGAGCAGCUCCCUCUUAAGGAGUCGGUUGGAGGUUCGAGUCCUCCCGCGAUCA